UUUUUUUUUUUUUUUUUUUUUUUUUUUUUUUUUUUGUAGAGGGGAUCGAACUCAGGACCUUGCACUUGCCAGACAGGCACAGCACCACUGAGCUGCAUCCCCAGCCCUGCAUGUCCUUAAGAAGCCAUUUUAUCUGGAAUACUGAAGAUGACUGAGACAGUUAUAUUAUUAAUCAUAUUAGAAGCCCUACUCUAUUGCUUACUGGAAAGUAUUUUGAGAAAUUUACAGAUGGGAAAUGGAAGGCACCACAAGUCUGCUGGUUCUCUGCCCAUUUUUUGUCAAAGGUGUGGUCCCAGGCUGGACGCCUAAUCCCUCACUCAGAG
rnacentral:lncRNA from 1 species